rnacentral:rRNA from 1 species
GAUGAACGCUGGCGGCGUGCUUAACACAUGCAAGUCGAACGGGAAUUACUUUAUUGAAACUUCGGUCGAUUUAAUUUAAUUCUAGUGGCGGACGGGUGAGUAACGCGUGGGUAACCUGCCUUAUACAGGGGGAUAACAGUCAGAAAUGGCUGCUAAUACCGCAUAAGCGCACAGAGCUGCAUGGCUCAGUGUGAAAAACUCCGGUGGUAUAAGAUGGACCCGCGUUGGAUUAGCUAGUUGGUGGGGUAACGGCCCACCAAGGCGACGAUCCAUAGCCGGCCUGAGAGGGUGAACGGCCACAUUGGGACUGAGACACGGCCCAGACUCCUACGGGAGGCAGCAGUGGGGAAUAUUGCACAAUGGGGGAAACCCUGAUGCAGCGACGCCGCGUGAAGGAUGAAGGUUUUCGGAUUGUAAACUUCUUUUAUUAAGGACGAAACU